rfam:Burkholderia glathei PML1(12) contig00199, whole genome shotgun sequence.
GGAGGAAGGCCCUCCGAAGCCGGCGUGCAGGCGCAGGUUUCAAACAGCCGUAAGCUGCUUCAGUCGGAAACGCUGCGGUGGUGAACGUUACGGUUAAAAGGCGUGAUCAAACACGUCAUG